AAGUUUGAAUUAGAGUAACCUGAGUUCAAAAAUUUCCAUAAAUAUUCUAAAUAUUUCUGGUUUUAUGAGAGUUUCUGGAAAAACAUAAUUUCUCUUUAAGAAGUAAAAUUUUGUCUAUAAAUUUAGAUUGUACUAAAAAUUUCAUUUGUCAUCAAUAUGGUUGAGCAAAAAUUUCCUCUUAAAGAAUGGAUGAUUGGGUUUUCUGUUGCAACUAUAUUAAUAUGUAUUGUACUGCGUAUUUUACAGAGGAAAGGAUUACAGAAAGGGAAAGAGUUGCUUAAUCAAAGACGUUUUGAAGACUCUUAAUCCAUAAAAGAAUGAUAUAUUUAUGGUUUAUGAAGCUCAUAAUCUAGUCAUCAUUCCAAAAUCAAUUUGAUGAUUAUCAUCUGGUGAUAGUUUCCUGAUGACAAAUGAAACUUUCUUUAAUUUUUUUUUUAGUUAACUUCUAAAAAAAGUUUUUUUAUUUUUAAA